AUGUGCUAUCCUGUACACACUCUCAGUUGUUCACUAAAAAAAUCAACAACAACACUACUUGAUGGAGUGAAACGCAUCACACAAUCACAUGUUCAUGUUUCAAAUUUUCCAAGUUUUCCCUCUAACAAACUUCUCUUCCACUCUAUCUCACUCAACACACUCUAUAUAACUUUCUCCUCUUUCUCAUUCACACACACACGCCUUGCACUGCUUAAAAAGUCAGAUCUGAUGUUGCUUACUAUUCUUCAAAGCUUUCUUUGA